rnacentral:rRNA from 1 species
CUUAUUUUUGUUAUUUUCUUAUUUGUUAAUUUUAUUUAAUUACAUUAAUGUAUAUUUUGUUGGGGCGACAGUGAAAAUUAAUUAACUUUCAUUAUUUAUAUUUCAUUUAUAUAUGUUUAUUUUGAUCCUUUAUUAUGGAUUAUAAGACUAAAUUACCUUAGGGAUAACAGCGUAAUUUUUUCGGAGAGUUCUUAUCGAUGAAUAAAGUUUGCGACCUCGAUGUUGGAUUAAAGUUAGUUUUGGGUGUAGCAGCUCAUAUACACUAAGUCUGUUCGACUUUUAAAUCUUUACAUGAUCUGAGUUCAGACCGGCGUGAGCCAGGUUGGUUUCUAUCUACAAUGAAUUUUUAUAAUCUAGUACGAAAGGACCGAUUAUAAGUAAUAGUUAUCUUUAUUUGAUUAUUAAUA